GGGAAUGGUCGGGAUAGCUCAGUGGUAGA
rnacentral:tRNA from 1 species